UCUUGGCGUAUCCUCUCAGUAGUCCUUUCACUCCUCUGCUGUCCACCCAGAUGGCUACUCUCAGCACAGGACUUCACUUCUUGCUUUACUAAGACCAUCACCUGGAGGUGGAGGCUCUGGCUACUUCCCUUCUCUCCAGCUGUCUCCACAGCUCUCUGCUCAUUCCUGCCAGUUUCAGAGGAGGAGCUCUCUUCCUUGUCCUGAAGGCAAGAUCCUCCCCUUAUCACCCCCCACCCCCAUUCUAUUUCUUCAAAUAGUCUUCACUGACCAACAUCUCGAAUGGCUCUUUUGGUUAUAAGCCAUUUUACCCUCAAGGAUCUGGCCGGAUAGUAUUGUAAACAGGAUUCUAUUUUCCUCAUCAUCACUGCCCAACUUUUUGACUAUUAACUCUAUCCCACCUGCAGAAACUGCAUUCACAAAGUUACUAUCUCAUUAUUAUUCUCCUUGACCUUUUUGCAAUGUUUGGAGCUUUUCAUUACCCUUCUUUUUUGCCACCAUACUUCCCUUCUAGAGUCUCUUCUGCCUUAUGUUGAUUCUCUCCCUAAGCCUCUAAAUUUUUCCAUUCUUUUCUGUCUCUUUAAGUCCUCUAAUUCACAGGACUUCACACGUUUUGGUCCAUGUACUCCCUAAUAAAAUAACUGUGAAAAUUAUGAACAAACUCACACAUUUUUAAGUUGCUAUGCAAAUUUUUUUCGUAAGAUUGAGGGUGAUAAAGAAUAUAAUAUCUGAUAUAGUGGAUAUUAUAUGUGUGCCUUAAAUACAUUUUUGCCAAAACUAUGGAGCUGCACCUUCAGUUUAUGGAGAACUUCCACUAUAUAAUUUAAUUGGCAAACACAGUCUUCACUGUCAAACUAAUCAAUCAGAAAAUUGACUUUGUAUUCUACCUCAAAUAAAUGUGUUAAUACCUGUCUCUGUGACAAUCACCUUGCUUCUAAAUUCUAAGUCUUAGGGGGGAAAAACGAAGAGAAUAAAAAAGAAAAAAGAAAAGAAAUGAGGCACGAGGCCUUGCCACAGGUUUGCUACUUGAAGGAAGCUUCUCACAGAAGCUCUGCAGGCUCACAUUUUCUCUUUGUUUUGAGGGCGAGAUAUUUACACCUGGUGGAAUUGUACGAGAGUAAAUUCUGGAUGGAUGGACAGAUGGAUGGAUGGGUGGACACAUGGAUGGACAGGUGAGAGAUUGAAGCCUCAGCUGCCCAGGAUAUUUGGACUCAGACUGGCCAUGCCCAGCCCACCCCUGCAGCCUCAGCCACGUGCUCAUACAUCAAAAUGUUCUUCUUUGUUUCACUUCCGUCACGACAGUAUGCUCAUCAGAAAUGUUUAUUUUUUUACCUGGAUUUAAGGAAAUUUGGACAUACAGGGGGACACCAGGGAUGCUCUCAAACAGAGGAAAGAUCACGUAAGGAUACGGUGAGAAGGCAGCCACUUGAAAGCCAAGAAGAGAGGUCUCAGGAGAAACCAAGCCUGCCCACACCUUGCUCUUGGACUUCUAGCCUCCAGGACUGUGAGAAAAUAAAUUUCUGUUGUUUACGCCUGUCUGUGGUAUUUUGCUAUGGCAGCCCUAGAAAACGAAUGCAGUGUGAGAUAUGGAUUUUUUUUUUUUUAAUAUGGAAAAAUCAUUUGUUUCUAGUUCCAUUUACUGAAUAGUCCCUACUUUCCUCACUGAUCUGUCAUGACUCCUCUGUCAUAUAUCAAAAUUUCAUAUACAUGUGACACUAUUUCUAGGCUCUUUAUUCUAUUCCAUUGGUCAGUCUAUCCCUGUGAGAGUACCAGACUUUCUUAAUUGCUAUGGCUCUGUUGUUAAGUCGUGAAACCUGGUAGAGCAAUGUCUUCCCCCUUUUGUUCUUCUUUAAAGCCACUUUGCUACGUUUCAUCACUUACACUUUCACAUAAAGUCUACAAUCAGUUUGUCAAGUUUUACUAAAAAUCCUAUUGGGAUUUUAACUGUAUUUGCAAUAAAUCAAUAAACUGCAGAGAAAUAUUUUGUAAUUAAAGAUUCAUCUCCA